rnacentral:rRNA from 1 species
UAGCGAUAGCUAAUUGCAAAUAUCGACUUAGUCGAAUAAAAUUCUAGGUAGAUGUUUGAUAAUGACAUUAUCUGCCUAUUAGUCUUGACCAAAUUACGUGCCAGCAGUCGCGGUAACACGUAAAAGACUAGUGUUAUUCAUCUUUAAUAGGUUUAAAGGGUACCUAGACGGUAAAUCAAGCACUAAUUUACUAGAGUUACUUGCGAGGGGGCACUAAAGUACUAAUGGUGUAGAGAUGAAAUUUUACAAUACCUUUUUUCGAUGGCACAGGUAUAGGCGAAAGCAUCCCCUUAUGUGAUAACUGACGUUGAAGGACGAAGG